UACAGAGGUCUCAAGCGUUGUCCGGAAUCAUUGGGCGUAAAGCGCGCGUAGGCGGCCCUGUAAGUCCGCUGUGAAAGUCAAAGGCUCAACCUUUGAAAGCCGGUGGAUACUGCAGGGCUAGAGUCCGGAAGAGGCGACUGGAAUUCCUGGUGUAGCGGUGAAAUGCGCAGAUAUCAGGAGGAACACCGGUGGCGAAGGCGGGUCUCUGGGCCGAUACUGACGCUGAGGAGCGAAAGCGUGGGGAGCGAACAGG
rnacentral:rRNA from 1 species